GCUAUAGAGCACUCUUGGUGGCGAUCCCCUUCUCUCUCACGCCACAUGAAGAGGACUGCUGUUCACCCCCUCGCAGUUGCUUCUAGAGGACGCAACCACGCGCGCGCUCUAGAAGAAACGACCGGAUCCAUUUCCCUCGACUGCGUUGUGUCGCGCCGCCGCUAUCCAAUCCAACACCGAUGUUGUGCCGUGCCGCCGCCAUCGGGAGUCGGGACGACGUCCGCCGAGUGGCUGUGGCAAGGCGACGACCCAGCGCAUGACAAGUAGAGGAGGCGAGGAGCAGCCGCCGACCGCCGUCUGCCGAGGCAAUCGCCGCCAUCGGAAGUCGGGACCGCGUCCGCCGAGUGGCUGUGGCAACGACCCAACGCAGGAUGAGCACCGUCGACCGCCGUUCACCGAGGCAACGACACAACCAUGCAGAGUCAUUGCUUCAUCACUGAAAAGAAGUUUGAACGGUGUGAACUCAAUGGAUUAGGAGACUAUAGUGUUGUGACUCCACACAACCUUUGUCAGUUCUUUUACCAAAUUUUCCUUUGACAAACUGAUCAAGGAUUUGAAGAUGCUAAGUAGAAUGAUUUUGUUUGCUCUUUCCACCAGACCGUUAGACUCAGGUGCCUUAUAUAUAUGCAAAGUGUACAAUUGUUCCCACUUAGCCACAAAAACAGUAUAAAUAUUUUAGAGUCAA